GAUGAACGCUGGCGGCGUGCCUAAUACAUGCAAGUCGAGCGAACGGACGAGAAGCUUGCUUCUCUGAUGUUAGCGGCGGACGGGUGAGUAACACGUGGAUAACCUACCUAUAAGACUGGGAUAACUUCGGGAAACCGGAGCUAAUACCGGAUAAUAUUUUGAACCGCAUGGUUCAAAAGUGAAAGACGGUCUUGCUGUCACUUAUAGAUGGAUCCGCGCUGCAUUAGCUAGUUGGUAAGGUAACGGCUUACCAAGGCAACGAUGCAUAGCCGACCUGAGAGGGUGGUCGGACAAACUGUAGUGUGGACACGGCCCGGACACGAACGGGAGGAAGCAGUAGGGAGUGUUCAGGAAUGGGCGAAAGCCUGAAGAAGCAAGUCAGGUUGAAGGAUAAAGGGCUUCGGUUCGUAAAACUCUGUUAUAAGGAAAAAACAUAUGUGUAAGUAACAGUGCACAUCUGGAAGGGACCGAAUAAGAAAGCCCAGGCUAACUACUU
rnacentral:rRNA from 1 species